rnacentral:rRNA from 1 species
AGUGAACGCUGGCGGUAGGCCUAACACAUGCAAGUCGAACGGCAGCACAGUAAGAGCUUGCUCUUACGGGUGGCGAGUGGCGGACGGGUGAGGAAUACAUCGGAAUCUACUUUUUCGUGGGGGAUAACGUAGGGAAACUUACGCUAAUACCGCAUACGACCUACGGGUAAAAGCAGGGGAUCUUCGGACCUUGCGCGAUUGAAUGAGCCGAUGUCGGAUUAGCUAGUUGGCGGGGUAAAGGCCCACCAAGGCGACGAUCCGUAGCUGGUCUGAGAGGAUGAUCGGCCACACUGGAACUGAGACACGGUCCAGACUCCUACGGGAGGCAGCAGUGGGGAAUAUUGGACAAUGGGCGCAAGCCUGAUCCAGCAAUGCCGCGUGAGUGAAGAAGGCCUUCGGAUCGUAAAGCUCUGUUGUUGGGAAAGAAAAGAAGUGUAAGUAAACGCGGCCGUCCUGACGGUACCUAAAGAGAAAGCAACGGCUAACUACGUG